GGUAUGGACACUAACUCUUGAACUAAAAAGCAAGAUAUGCACAUUGCGCACCGCCCUUCAGUUCCAGUCCGAAGUCCAACAAUUGCGAAGAUCACACACACACGCAUACAACACUCUCUGCGUCCGCAAUCUCCAUCUUCAUACCUCUCUCUGUUAAUCAGCUCUUGGACUUGAAGCUUCUCUUCUUCACUUUCUCUCCCUCGACCAACUGGUUAAAUAGCCCCCUUCAAUCCACUUCCAAGGUUAAACCCUUCUCUCCACUGUCCCACGCCAAAACCCAAGCUUCAACCAUAAAAUAUAACACUUAUUUUCCCAUCUUUUCUUUUAAAGAACCCAAAAUUUGGAUCCAAAUCCCAAAUACAAAAGUCUCCCCAUUUUUUAUGAAUACGGGUCCUUCAAUAUGGAUCCUCCAUUGAUCAAUGAGUCAUCUUUUUCAGCAGCCAAUCUUUCAUCUUACAGCCUUGCUGAGAUUUGGCCUUUCCCAAUCAACUCACGCUCUGACCCAAAUGUUACAACUGCAGGGAGAUUAGGCGUCCGAAUGGGUACUUUGGGCGGGUUUGGGGAAAGUUCGGGUCACAGAGAUGGGUUUGGGGCGGAUUUGAGCUCUGAAGAUGAGUCUUCCAAGAUGGUUUCUACUACCAGUGCAAAUGAAUUUAAUGAUUCAAAUGGAAAACGGGUGAAAUCAUCGACAAAGAAUGAAAAUGCAAUUUCUAAAGCUGAGGUGGAAACAAGUUCUGCAGCUGGUAGCAAGCCAGAACAGUAUGGUAAACCUACUGAACCGCCUAAGCAAGACUAUAUUCAUGUCAGAGCCAGAAGGGGUCAAGCUACGGAUAGUCAUAGUCUGGCUGAGAGAGCCAGGAGAGAGAAGAUUAGUGAGAGGAUGAAGAUUCUUCAAGAUUUGGUCCCUGGAUGUAAUAAGGUCAUUGGAAAAGCACUCGUCCUUGAUGAGAUAAUUAAUUAUAUCCAGUCACUGCAGCGGCAGGUUGAGUUCCUGUCAAUGAAGCUAGAAGCAGUUAAUUCAAGGAUGAACAUGAGUCCUAGCAUCGAAGGCUUUCAUUCAAAGGAUGGAAGGGGGAUUUGAACCCAACUCUAUGAGCAGAAGGAUAGAUGCACCGAUCAUUGAGCCAGAUGCUCAGCUUGGUUCACAACCAUUUGAUGCUGCUGGAAUGAUAUUUGGUGCACAAGCAGCUAGGGAAUAUGCUCAAGGAUCACAGCCUGAGUGGCUGCAGAUGCAUGUUGGUGGAAAUUUUGAAAGGGCAACAUAAUUUGGAGAAACCUUGUUGGCACUCAAAGCAGCAAGAGUAAUGUGCUUGUCUUUAGAUCAAAGGGGAUUGGUUACAUCUGUUGCAGAAAUGAGUUUGGUAAAUGUGGCCUUGUUCUUAAAUUUGUCUGGUAGUUUCUAUGUCUACGAUAAAUGCAGAAUUUUUAUUUAUAAUUCAAUAACAGCAAAGAGAAGAGGGAGGAAAACUGAGAA